rnacentral:rRNA from 1 species
UACGUAGGGUGCGAGCGUUGUCCGGAAUUAUUGGGCGUAAAGGGCUCGUAGGCGGUUUGUCGCGUCGGGCGUGAAAACUCAGGGCUUAACCCUGAGCCUGCUUCCGAUACGGGCAGACUAGAGGUAUGCAGGGGAGAACGGAAUUCCUGGUGUAGCGGUGAAAUGCGCAGAUAUCAGGAGGAACACCGGUGGCGAAGGCGGUUCUCUGGGCAUUACCUGACGCUGAGGAGCGAAAGCAAGGGGAGCAAACAGG